UACGGAGGGGGCGAGCGUUAUUCGGAAUUAUUGGGCGUAAAGGGCGCGUAGGCGGCGCGAUAAGUCAAAGGUGAAAUCCCUCGGCUCAACUGAGGAACUGCCUUUGAAACUGUCGUGCUUGAGUCCGGGAGGGGGUAGCGGAAUUCCCAGUGUAGCGGUGAAAUGCGUAGAUAUUGGGGAGGAACACCAGUGGCGAAGGCGGCUACCUGGACCGGUUCUGACGCUGAUGCGCGAAAGCGUGGGUAGCAAACAGG
rnacentral:rRNA from 1 species